rnacentral:rRNA from 1 species
GGGCCCGCACAAGCGGUGGAGCAUGUGGCUUAAUUCGAGGCAACGCGAAGAACCUUACCUGGUCUUGACAUGCCCGUCAUAGUUUUCCGAAAGGAAUUCGUCAGUUCGGCUGGACGGUGCACAGGUGCUGCAUGGCUGUCGUCAGCUCGUGUCGUGAGAUGUUCGGUUAAGUCCGGCAACGAGCGCAACCCUCGUUCCUAGUUGCCAGCGGGUAAUGCCGGGGACUCUAGGAAGACAAACCUCGUGUAGAGGUGGGAAGGUGGGGACGACGUCAAGUCAGUAUGGCCCUUACGACCAGGGCUGCACACGUGCUACAAUGCCUGGCACAAUGGGAUGCAAUACCGCGAGGUUGAGCAAAUCCACAAAACCAGGCCCAGUUCGGAUUGGAGUCUGCAACUCGACUCCAUGAAGUUGGAAUCGCUAGUAAUGGC